GGACUGGGAAACAGUGGAUAGAGCCAUACAAGGGUGUUGUGAGGUCCAGGUUGAUGAACUCUUCUGAGAAAUAGCAACCAUAAAUGAAGAGCAAAGUACUUGAUUACUUUUAUUGCUGAUCAUUUUCUGGAAACAGAAGAACUCUCCCUGCUGCUGCUAAUGGAACCAGUCCUUUGAUACCUUUUUCCUGCUAGUUAUGUUUUACCUCGACUGACUGCUUCGAAGCACCUUCGUGCCUGGCUGAGAGGGGUACCACUUUGGGACAGAAGCAGGAGCUAAAUUUUGCUGUGAGAUGCUCUGGCCCAGCACCUCAGGGUUCUGCCUGGCCUUUGCUCACACAUCCAGCCUCCAUCAGCUGCAAGUCAGAGAAGUC